rnacentral:rRNA from 1 species
AACGAACGCUGGCGGCAGGCCUAACACAUGCAAGUCGAGCGCCCCGCCAGGGGGGCGGCGGACGGGUGAGUAACGCGUGGGAACGUACCCUUUGCUACGUAAUAUCCUUGGGAAACUGGGAGUAAUACCGUAUGUGUCCUUCGGUAGAAAGAUUUAUCGUCAAGGGAUCGGCUCGCUUUGGAUUAGGUGGUUGGUUGGGUAAUGGCCUACCAAGCCGACCAUCCAUAGCUGGUUUGAGAGUAUGAUCAGCCACACUGGGACUGAGACACGGCCCAGACUCCUACGGGAGGCAGCAGUGGGGAAUCUUAGACAAUGGGCGCAAGCCUGAUCUAGCCAUGCCGCGUGAGCGAUGAAGGCCUUAGGGUUGUAAAGCUCUUUCAGGGGGGAAGAUAAUGACUGUACCCCCAGAAGAAGCCCCGGCUAACUCCGUG